rnacentral:lncRNA from 1 species
UAUAUCCGUGUCAGUGCAGUUAAGCAGGGAGAGCAUGUCUGAUAUGUGUAGGAAAAAUGCGUCCUGGAAGGAUGAAAUGUCGUCUUUGUAGACUGUUUUUUGUGCACUUGAAACGUAUAAAAUCCAACUAAGCAUGUAUGCCUUGUAUGAAACAUGAUCAUAUUCAAACCACCAUAACUCACUUCCUGUUCCGAUAUGAAUGUAAUAUU